rnacentral:rRNA from 1 species
UGGAGCCUGCGGUUAAUCGGACUCAAACGCCGGGAAACUCACCAGAUAAGACAGCUGAAUGAUAGUCGGGCUGAAGACUCUACUUGACUAGCUGAGAGGAGGUGCAUGGCCGUCGUCAGUUCGUACUGUGAAGCAUCCUGUUAAGUCAGGCAACGAGCGAGACCCACGCCAACAGUUGCCAGCUCGUCCUCCGGGAUGGUGGGGACACUGUUGGGACCGCCUCUGCUAAAGAGGAGGAAGGAAUGGGCAACGGUAGGUCAGCAUGCCCCGAAUUAUCUGGGCUACACGCGGGCUACAAUGGGUGGGACAAUGGGUAUCGACACCGAAAGGUGAAGGCAAUCUCCUAAACCCAUCCGUAGUUCGGAUUGUGGGCUGCAACUCGCCCACAUGAAGCUGGAAUCUGUAGUAAUCGUGUCUCAAAAUGGCACGGUGAAUAUGUCCCUGCUCCUU